UGUCGAGACAUUGGACACGCGACAUUUUGGAUCCAGCAGACUUAAAACCCAAGGCCAAGCUAAAUUACAAAAAUGCCCUGACGAGUUUUUAACCUAGUAGAUUAUAUACUGCCUAAGUGUUUUGACGGCAAAAGAGAGCUUUUUGUUACAGUUUUACUUUGAGAGAGAAGAGAGAGUUUGGGAGAGUAGAUCACUUGUGAUUGGAACUCCUUGUUUUCAUUUCUUUUCAUCUAUACUAUGAAUUUCUAUUUCUUCAUUGUUAUGAAUUGCUUUGGUAUGUCUGAGUAGUUCACUUAUUAGAUCCAGGGUUCAGAUAGGUUUGUGGGAUUAGCCCCAAACUAUAGACUAUUUACUUCGUUUGUUACUAUUGAUUUUUCAUUUAAACAUUUACAACUCUUAGAAUUAAUAAACACUAGAUAC
rnacentral:lncRNA from 1 species